AAAAUAGGAGCGGCAGAAAGCAUAGUGGUGAAGCCUCAAGAUUUGGACUCAGAUGGACCUUUGUCAUGUACAAGUCAUUGGCUUUGGGAAUCAUCUCCAGUGGAAGGAUCUAGGCUCUUCAAAAAGACAGAAACUUCAGUGAGAGUACCUCAACACUGAGAGAAACCUCAGAGCCUGUUCCCCUGCAAGAAGCUUCAAAGGGAGAGGUUGGCCAUAUAAGGCAGAAAUAAACCCUAAGAGGAGGAAGGAUGAACUUCCCCAAAGAAGGACUCCUCAGGAAAGCAAGUGGGUUUGUUCUAAAGGGACACACCUGGUGACAGUGGGAACACACUUCCAAACAAAGUGCCAUAAUCAGAAGGUGGGAAUUUGGAGACAGAGGCACAUGAAGAGCACCAUGUGAAGAUGAAGCCAGAGGUCGGGGUGAUACUUCUAAGAGCUGAGAAUGCCAAGAUUGUCAUGAACUACCAGAAGCCAGGGGAGGGGCCCGGACAGAGUCUCCCUCAUGGGCCUCAGAAGGAACCAACUCUGCUGACACCUUGAUCUUGACCAUCCAGCCCCAGAGCCAUUGGACAGUAAGUUUCCGUUGUUUAAGCCACCCAGUUUGUGGUACUUUCUUAUGGCAGCCCUAACAAACUAAGACACAGGAAAGCCUUGGGGGAAGGCGUUGCAUCUGUCUCUGAGAGGACAUAUUUGGGACCAAGUCCCUCCUGUGACAUCACGGCCAUCCGACGCGUCAUGACCUGUUUGACAGGUACACACCUCCCAGAUAAUAGGCACAGACAUCCUUGGGCAAGGCUGGCCUCUGUGAUGAGCCUGCACACACCUUCCCUGGGUGUGGCAGCUGUGCUAACACCAGUGAAGUGGCUCUGUCUGGGUGCAAGGCCCAGCUUCUCCUGAGGCUCCCUCUAGAUGACAAGCCCAGCCGCACUUACCAAAGCUUUCCCUGAGAUGGACCCCGGAACCCUGAAGUCUCCUGCAGAACUGAUUCAGUUGCACCCACCUCGUGGGAUGCCCUUUAAGGCUUUCCCUAAAUGAGAAGCCCAGUACCCCCUCAGUAUUCUUCUCUGGCAAGGGAGGAGCUCCAUCCCCACCAUAUUAUUUCCAGAAUAAAGAAGUCAACUCUCAGAAAGCUGCAUAUAGGAUGGUACUAUUUAUAUAGAAAACGUGGUCAAAAAAUUUUAUAAAAUGUUACAUAUUUUUCACAGGUACAUGUAGCAUACAUAUAUCCAGGCCUGGAAAGGUCACAACUAAACAAUAGUAGCCGUUUCUGGAGAAUAAUCCUGGGUUUGGAGGCUAUAGACAAAGAGAGCUUUGGCCUUACUUGUAAGGUUUUAAUUUCUUUCUUGUAUUUUUCUUUUUUUAAAAGAUAAAUAUGUUUGUAAAUUGUUUGUGUAAUUAAAAAUUAACUUUAAAAAACAAAAUUGGAAAACUAUAGUACGAUCCAAUUUUGGCUAAAAAUAUAGCUACAGCAAUAUAUAUACCGAGAAAAGCGGGGAAUACAUAUUGAAUUGUUGAAAGUGUGUAUCUCUGCAUAGGGUAGUGACAGGAUGGGAUUAUGGGAGGAUUUUGACUUCCUGUGACGGGUGUUAGGGCCUGAAUAUUUCUGUCCCAUCAAAUCCCUAUGUUGAAACCUAAUCCCUCAUGUGAGGGUAUUUGGAGGCAGGGCAUUUGGUGGCCCACCCUCCUAAAUGGGAUUAGUUCCCUUAUAAAAGAGGCCUGAGAGAGCUCUUUUGCCCCUUCCACCAUGUGAGGACGCAGUGAGAAGAUACUGUCUAUGAACUAGAAAGUGGGUCUUCACCAGACACGGAAUCUGCUGGCACUGUGAUCUUGGACUUCCUAGCCCUCAGAACUGUGAGAAAUAAAUUUCUGCUGUUUGUAAGGCA
rnacentral:lncRNA from 10 species